CCUGAACGCUGGCGGCGUGGCUAAGACAUGCAAGUCGUACGGUGUAGCAAUACACAGUGGCGAACGGGUGAGUAAUGAAUCGCUAAUGUGCCCCGGACUCUGGGAUAGCUGACCGAAAGGGCAGGUAAUACCAGAUGAGACCACGAACAGGCAUCUGUUUGUGCUCAAAGGUCCGCCGGUCUGGGAGCAGGCGAUUUCGUAUCAGCUAGUUGGAGGGUAACGGCCUACCAAGGCGACGACGCGUAGCCGGACUGAGAGGUUGACCGGCCA
rnacentral:rRNA from 1 species